rnacentral:rRNA from 1 species
UACGGAGGGUGCAAGCGUUAUCCGGAUUCACUGGGUUUAAAGGGUGCGUAGGUGGGUUGGUAAGUCAGUGGUGAAAUCCCCGAGCUUAACUUGGGAACUGCCAUUGAUACUAUCAGUCUUGAAUACCGUGGAGGUCGCGGAAUAUGUCAUGUAGCGGUGAAAUGCUUAGAUAUGACAUAGAACACCAAUUGCGAAGGCAGCUGACUACGCGAGUAUUGACACUGAGGCACGAAAGCGUGGGGAUCAAACAGG